CACGUAGGGACCAAGCGUUGUCCGGAUUUAUUGGGCGUAAAGAGCUCGUAGGCGGUUUGGUAAGUCGGGUGUGAAACCUCCAGGCUCAACCUGGUGACGCCACCCGAUACUGCUAUGACUUGAGUUCGGUAGGGGAGCGGGGAAUUCCUGGUGUAGCGGUGAAAUGCGCAGAUAUCAGGAGGAACACCGGUGGCGAAGGCGCCGCUCUGGGCCGAAACUGACGCUGAGGAGCGAAAGCGUGGGGAGCAAACAGG
rnacentral:rRNA from 1 species